GAUCAUGGCUCAGGAUGAACGCUGGCGGCGUGCCUAACACAUGCAAGUCGAACGAAGCACCUUACUUGAUUCUUCGGAUGAAGGUCUGGUGACUGAGUGGCGGACGGGUGAGUAACGCGUGGGUAACCUGCCCUGUACAGGGGGAUAACAGCUGGAAACGGCUGCUAAUACCGCAUAAGCGCACGAAGAGACAUCUCCUAGUGUGAAAAACCCCGGUGGUACAGGAUGGGCCCGCGU
rnacentral:rRNA from 1 species